AAAACUAGUGACAUGUGAACUAGUGUAUAGAAAACAAUUAUAACUUGGACGAGUGGCAUGUAGAUAAUGCAAAUACAUGACGAGUGGCAUGUAAACCUAGUGUUGUGAACCUAGGAUAGAUCGAGUGGCAUUUGAACAUAGUGUAAAGAACACAUUGAUGCAAUGGGCUUAGGGAUUAGUUGAGUUUCCCUAGUUAUGGAACAUUGCAUAAUAGUUGAGUGUAGUUGACACUACGGCAUCGAACUUAGGGAUAGUUAAAUUCCCUAGUGUGAGUUGAUUAGUGUGGUUGGGACACUUGAUAUGGACCUAGGGAUAGGUGGACUUUCGAGUGUUUGUUAACCUAGUUGACAGGGUAUCCUUAGUUGGCGAGGAUUGGAUCAUACUCACAUAGUCUGUUUUGGGCUUGUGGUGGUCGCUCCACACAAGCAGUGCACUCCGGAGUUGUCACACGAGCUGGGUAGCUCACGAGCGGGGUAGCUCACCGGGUGGGAUACGAGCGGGGUAGCUCCCCACCCAUUGGACUGGGAAGUGAGUCGGGCGAAGGGCGGGGUAGCUCUUCACCUGUGAGAUUUGAGCGGGGUAGCUCUUACCUAUGAGCGGGGUAGCUCUUUACUUAUGACAUUGAGAUUAGAGUCGGGGCGAAGAGCGGGGUAGCUCUUGCCCUUAGGCCUUGGAGUUAAGAGUUGGGCGAAGAGCGGGGUAGCUCUUCACCUAUAUGACCUGCGAGAUAUGAGUUGGGUAGGAUAAGAGCGGGGUAGCUCAUCACCUAUGUGGUUUGAGAUCUUAGGCUGAUUAG
rnacentral:lncRNA from 1 species